UCCCUGGUGGUCCAGCGGCAAAAAUUCUGAGCUCCCAGUGCAGGGGAUCCAGGUUCAAUCCCUGGUCAGGGAA
rnacentral:tRNA from 1 species